rnacentral:rRNA from 1 species
GCACAAGCGGUGGAGCAUGUGGUUCAAUUCGACGCAACGCGAAGAACCUUACCCAGGCUUGAACAGCGAGUGACACACUCCGAAAGGAGUCUUCCGCAAGGACACUCGUAGAGGUGCUGCAUGGCUGUCGUCAGCUCGUGUCGUGAGAUGUUGGGUUAAGUCCCGCAACGAGCGCAGCCCUUGUCUUCUGUUGCCAUCACGUUAUGGUGGGCACUCUGAAGAGACUGCCGGUGAUAAACCGGAGGAAGGUGGGGAUGACGUCAAGUCAGCAUGGCCUUUAUGUCUGGGGCUACACACGUGCUACAAUGGCCGGUACAAACCGUCGCGAUACCGUAAGGUGGAGCUAAUCGGAGAAAGCCGGUCUCAGUUCGGAUUGCAGGCUGCAACUCGCCUGCAUGAAGUUGGAAUCGCUAGUAAUCGCGGAUCAGCACGCCGCGGUGAAUACGUUCCCGGGC